rnacentral:rRNA from 1 species
CGGACGGGUGAGUAACGCGUGGGUAACCUGCCUCAUACAGGGGGAUAACAGUUGGAAACGGCUGCUAAUACCGCAUAAGCGCACAGUACCGCAUGGUACCGUGUGAAAAACUCCGGUGGUAUGAGAUGGACCCGCGUCUGAUUAGCUAGUUGGUGAGGUAACGGCUCACCAAGGCGACGAUCAGUAGUCGGCUUGAGAGAGUGAACGGCCACAUUGGGACUGAGACACGGCCCAA